CAGGCAUGCCGACUCUGACUCAGCUCUGCCCUUCUCUUCAAGUUCUUCACUGGCCAUAAGUCCAAAGACAUCUGGAUGCCGUAGGAUCCUGAAUAGCUCUUGUGCCUUUGUCCUGUCCUUCCACUGCAUCUCACAAGCCAAGCCAAUGACACAGCUGUGUCUGGAGGGGACACCGAGCCUGCUGCCAGCACUUGCUGUCAGCCCAGGGGUGGAGUCAAGACUGAGUAUGACAAAGGGACAGAUGGAAAGUCCUCCGUGACACUCACUACUGAUCACACUGCAUCUGGAGCUCACCCUGUCUCUGGGUUCCUGGUUACAGAGCCCCCGUCUGUGUCGUCGCCGCCAUACCCGAAUCACAGAAAGGACUCGUGGGAAGGAGGGAGUGGAGACUCUAGAAGACACCCAAGGGCUGUCCUCUGACCAGAAUCCCAUGAUGUGAGGUCUGACUGCCCAAAUCUUGUGAAGACUUACGACUGUUUUAAAAAAUUCCUUAUAGAAAAUGGAAGAAACAAGGAAAAUGGAGGAAACGAAGGGAAAUCUCUAAUCCCAUAGUGGUAAUAUUACCCUCUAUGUGUGAAAUGCAUUGAGGUUACAAAGCAGUUAAUACCUGCUUUGUCCUUAUCAACCCUGUCUGGUGGAUGGACUAGGUAUUAUUAGUUCCAUUUCACAGAAGGGGACAGUGAAGGUGAGCAUCUUGCCCAAAGCCGUUCAAAGAGUAAAAUUUGGAGACAGAACAUAAAUUCUGGUUCUGGAGCUGCACGGUGCUCGUGCUCUCCAUUUUUACCUGGGGCCUCUUCCUUGAUAAAAACACUGAAAUUCUUCUUCCAUCACCUGGUGGAGGUGGGCUGAGAGCUGAGGUCCCCACAGGUGUGUGGCACUGGGAACACAUCCUCUGUCCCCUCUGCUCCUUCUCUUUCCCCUCCUCUCCGUGAAGGACUGUGCUGUGAUUUUGCCAGGUAGAAGGCAGCAACACCCACUCUGGCGGCCCACAAGGCCGCAAAGCCAAACAGAAAGUCAAAGCCGGCUGUGUUUCUACCACCUCCAGGGUGCCUCCAUUUAAAAUUAAAGCUCAGCAUGUUGUCUUUGAAAAAUUCACAGUUUAUUAUAAAGGCAGAAGAAAAGCUCUUGCCCUAGCGAUUAAGUUUUCAGAAGGAUCACCUUGUAGCCAGGCUGUAAAACCGUGGCUGCUGGAAGGCUGGAGUAUUUAAAGAAUGUGAGCUGAAGUGGUUUUUCUUGAGUCAUUUUUUUCAUUUGC
rnacentral:lncRNA from 1 species